rnacentral:tRNA from 1 species
ACUAUUUUGGCAGAAAAAAUGUAAUGAUUUUAGAAGUCAUAAAUAUAUAUUUAUAAAUAAUUAUAUAGAUAGUA